UGGGGAAUUUUGGGCAAUGGGCGAAAGCCUGACCCAGCAACGCCGCGUGAAGGAUGAAGUAUUUCGGUAUGUAAACUUCGUAAGAAUAGGAAGAAUAAAUGACGGUACUAUUUGUAAGGUCCGGCUAACUACGUGCCAGCAGCCGCGGUAAUACGUAGGGACCAAGCGUUGUUCGGAUUUACUGGGCGUAAAGGGCGCGUAGGCGGUGUGUCAAGUCAGUUGUGAAAUCUCCGAGCUUAACUCGGAACGGUCAACUGAUACUGUCACACUAGAGUACAGAAGGGGCAAUCGGAAUUCUUGGUGUAGCGGUGAAAUGCGUAGAUAUCAAGAGGAACACCUGAGGCGAAGGCGGGUUGCUGGGCUGAUACUGACGCUGAGGCGCGAAAGCUAGGGUAGCAAACGGGAUUAGAUACCCUUGUAGUCCCUGAGCGGGCUGGCAAGGCGCAU
rnacentral:rRNA from 1 species